rnacentral:rRNA from 1 species
AUGGGGGAAACCCUGAUGCAGCAACACCGCGUGAGGUGAUGAAGGCCUUUGGGUGUGUGAAGCCUCUGUCCUAGGGGAAGAAAAAAAUGACGGUACCCGAGGAGGAAGCCCCGGCUAACUACGUUGCCAGCAGCCGCGGUAAUACGUAGGGGGCAAGCGUUAUCCGGAAUUAUUGGGCGUAAAGAGUGCGUAGGUGGUCUACUAAGCGCGAGGUGAAAGGCAAUGGCUCAACCAUUGUUAGCCUUGCGAACUGGCAGACUUGAGUGCAAGAGAGGAAAGCGGAAUUCCUAGUGUAGCGGUGAAAUGCGCAGAUAUUAGGAGGAACACCGGCGGCGAAGGCGGCUUUCUGGAUUGUAACUGACACUGAGGCACGAAAGCGUGGGUAGCAAACAGAAUUAGAUACCCUGGUAGUCCACGCCGUAAACGAUGAGCACUAGGUGUCGGGACAUGAGUCUCGGUGCCGCAGUUAACGCAAUAAGUGCUCCGCCUGGGGAGUACGCACGCCAGUGUAAAACUCAAAGGAAUUGACGGGGACCGCACAGCAGCGA